AGACCCGAAACCCGGUGAUCUAGCCAUGGGCAGGUUGAAGGUUGGGUAACACUAACUGGAGGACCGAACCGACUAAUGUUGAAAAAUUAGCGGAUGACCUGUGGCUGGGGGUGAAAGGCCAAUCAAACCGGGAGAUAGCUGGUUCUCCCCGAAAGCUAUUUAGGUAGCGCCUCGUGAAUUCAUCUCCGGGGGUAGAGCACUGUUUCGGCUAGGGGGCCAUCCCGGCUUACCAACCCGAUGCAAACUGCGAAUACCGGAGAAUGUUAUCACGGGAGACACACGGCGGGUGCUAACGUCCGUCGUGAAGAGGGAAACAACCCAGACCGCCAGCUAAGGUCCCAAAGUCAUGGUUAAGUGGGAAACGAUGUGGGAAGGCCCAGACAGCCAGGAUGUUGGCUUAGAAGCAGCCAUCAUUUAAAGAAAGCGUAAUAGCUCACUGGUCGAGUCGGCCUGCGCGGAAGAUGUAACGGGGCUAAACCAUGCACCGAAGCUGCGGCAGCGACACUGUGUGUUGUUGGGUAGGGGAGCGUUCUGUAAGCCUGUGAAGGUGUGUCGUGAGGCAUGCUGGAGGUAUCAGAAGUGCGAAUGCUGACAUAAGUAACGAUAAAGCGGGUGAAAAGCCCGCUCGCCGGAAGACCAAGGGUUCCUGUCCAACGUUAAUCGGGGCAGGGUGAGUCGACCCCUAAGGCGAGGCCGAAAGGCGUAGUCGAUGGGAAACGGGUUAAUAUUCCCGUACUUGGUGUUACUGCGAAGGGGGGACGGAGAAGGCUAUGUUGGCCGGGCGACGGUUGUCCCGGUUUAAGCGUGUAGGUGUGUGUUCCAGGUAAAUCCGGUUCACUUUAACACUGAGGCGUGACGACGAGGCACUACGGUGCUGAAGCAACAAAUGCCCUGCUUCCAGGAAAAGCCUCUAAGCAUCAGGUAACAUCAAAUCGUACCCCAAACCGACACAGGUGGUCAGGUAGAGAAUACCAAGGCGCUUGAGAGAACUCGGGUGAAGGAACUAGGCAAAAUGGUGCCGUAACUUCGGGAGAAGGCACGCUGACACGUAGGUGAAGUGAUUUACUCAUGGAGCUGAAGUCAGUCGAAGAUACCAGCUGGCUGCAACUGUUUAUUAAAAACACAGCACUGUGCAAACACGAAAGUGGACGUAUACGGUGUGACGCCUGCCCGGUGCCGGAAGGUUAAUUGAUGGGGUCAGCGCAAGCGAAGCUCCUGAUCGAAGCCCCGGUAAACGGCGGCCGUAACUAUAACGGUCCUAAGGUAGCGAAAUUCCUUGUCGGGUAAGUUCCGACCUGCACGAAUGGCGUAAUGAUGGCCAGGCUGUCUCCACCCGAGACUCAGUGAAAUUGAACUCGCUGUGAAGAUGCAGUGUACCCGCGGCAAGACGGAAAGACCCCGUGAACCUUUACUAUAGCUUGACACUGAACAUUGAGCCUUGAUGUGUAGGAUAGGUGGGAGGCUUUGAAGUGUGGACGCCAGUCUGCAUGGAGCCGACCUUGAAAUACCACCCUUUAAUGUUUGAUGUUCUAACGUGGACCCGUUACCCGGGUUGCGGACAGUGUCUGGUGGGUAGUUUGACUGGGGCGGUCUCCUCCUAAAGAGUAACGGAGGAGCACGAAGGUUGGCUAAUCCUGGUCGGACAUCAGGAGGUUAGUGC
rnacentral:rRNA from 1 species